GCAAGUCGAGGGGUAACAGGGGAGCUUGUUCUCGCUGACGACCGGCGCACGGGUGAGUAACGCGUAUACAACCUACCUAUUACACAGGAAUAGCCCAUGGAAACGUGGAUUAAUGCCUGAUAGUUUUAUAAAGUCACAUGAUUUAAUAAAUAAAGAAUUUCGGUAAUAGAUGGGUAUGCGUAACAUUAGCUAGUUGGUAAGGUAACGGCUUACCAAGGCGAUGAUGUAUAGGGGGUCUUAGAGGAUGAUC
rnacentral:rRNA from 1 species